GAAAGGGCGUGCAUACCGACACGCCUGGGAGCAGCCAAAGCUCCCCAGUUAGA
rnacentral:ncRNA from 1 species